rnacentral:rRNA from 1 species
GAUGAACGCUGGCGGCGUGCCUAAUACAUGCAAGUCGAGCGAACAGACGAGGAGCUUGCUCCUCUGACGUUAGCGGCGGACGGGUGAGUAACACGUGGAUAACCUACCUAUAAGACUGGGAUAACUUCGGGAAACCGGAGCUAAUACCGGAUAAUAUAUUGAACCGCAUGGUUCAAUAGUGAAAGACGGUUUUGCUGUUACUUAUAGAUGGAUCCGCGCCGCAUUAGCUAGUUGGUAAGGUAACGGCUUACCAAGGCAACGAUGCGUAGCCGACCUGAGAGGGUGAUCGGCCACACUGGAACUGAGACACGGUCCAGACUCCUACGGGAGGCAGCAGUAGGGAAUCUUCCGCAAUGGGCGAAAGCCUGACGGAGCAACGCCGCGUGAGUGAUGAAGGUCUUCGGAUCGUAAAACUCUGUUAUUAGGGAAGAACAAAUGUGUAAGUAACUAUGCACGUCUUGACGGUACCUAAACAGAAAGCCACGGCUAACUACGUG